rnacentral:rRNA from 1 species
UACGGAGGGUGCAAGCGUUAUCCGGAUUCACUGGGUUUAAAGGGUGCGUAGGUGGGUCUGUAAGUCAGUGGUGAAAUCUCCGAGCUUAACUCGGAAACUGCCAUUGAUACUAUAGGUCUUGAAUUAUCUGGAGGUGAGCGGAAUAUGUCAUGUAGCGGUGAAAUGCUUAGAUAUGACAUAGAACACCAAUUGCGAAGGCAGCUCACUACGGAUAUAUUGACACUGAGGCACGAAAAGCGUGGGGAUCAAACAGG